GUUAAUCAUAAUUUAGUAGGAUAGCAAUUUUCUUCUAUAAGAUAAUUUAUAUUAUUCUAAAAAAAUGGCUUGAAGUACGAAUAUGAUAUUUUAUUCUAGAUACCUCAUCGUAUUUUUUAUCUACCAAAUGUACAAAUUUGUGAGUAACUUAACAAAAUAUACCGAACAAGAUAUUCAUAUAUCUAAAUAGGACCUCUAUCAAUUAGCAUAACUAAAUAUAGCCCCCACCAAUGCAUUAUAUAUAACUAGUGUUGAACCCGCGCUUCGCCGCGGACAAUUUUAACACCAAUAUUUUGAUGUGAAUUUUAAUAUAUAAUAAUUACGAAAAAUGAGGAAAGAAUAAAAUUAAAUAUCAAUACAUAUAUAUGUAAGAGAAGCAAAAGAAUAGUAGUCAAGAAUGAAUUGCUAUGCAAAAAUAAGAUGGAAUAAUAACAAAAUAUGUAAUUAUGAACUAUGCAAAAUAUAUAUUUAGCUUGAAUGAUUACUAAUUAUUUUAAUACAUAUAUAAGUAAUUUGGAUUGAUAAUAAACUAUGUAAUUAUGUAAUAUGCAAGUAUAUAUUUAGUUUGAAUAAUUUAUUUUUUAAACAAUUCUGAAAUAAAAUAAUUUUAACUUUUGUUUUCGAAAAAUUAUAAGGAUGGAUUUAGUAGAAAAUAUUAUAGAGAAAAAAGUUUUAGAUGAGGCCUGUGACACCUUCCACCCCGUCGGCACGUUUUCAGGGUGGUGCAACACGAAUUCAAGUAGCUCUCAAAGAUCCAGCAAAAAAUACAAAAGAAAUAUAAAAUUUAAUGUAAAGACAGGUAAAGUUCAGUGCAUGAGGGAGAGAGGAAGAAGAAACAAUUAGAAAAAUUUUUCAAAGUUCGAGCUUGAUGAGUACACGUUCUCCUAUAUACACACCAGAAUCAAGGUGAGGAUUUUGUCGUUUCCCGAGGUAAGGAAAUAUUUGGAUAGAUUUAAUACUUUUUCGAGGUGGAUUUGAGAAAAUUUGGUACCUUCCCUAGAUGUAAUCAUUGGAUAGAUUUGGUACUUUUCAAAAUUGAUUUGGGAAGAUUUAUUACCUUCCUUAAGAUUGAUUUGGAAAGAUUUGUUGUCUUUUCCAUGUGUACCUUCCCGAAGUGGAUUUGGAAAGAUUUGGUACCUUUCCGAGAUGUAAUUAUUGGAUAGAUUUGGUUCCUUUUCAAGGUUGAUUUGGAAAGAAUUAUUACCUUCUUCAAGAUUGAUUUGGAAAGAUUUGUUACCUUUCUCGUGUGUAUCGUCCCGAGAUGUAAAGAUUUGAUAUGAGAGGAAGGAGAGAGAAGGGAUGAAAGGAGAAGAGAAGAAAGGAGUAGCGGACAAGUAUGCAGGAGGAACCGUCAAUUAAUGGAUUUAUAUGGAUGCUUUAUACUUUAUAUCUAGAGUUUAAUUAAUUAGGAUUGAAGGCCUAAUCCAAAUCAAUCUUUAAUUUAACUUUUAAACAGUUAACUUUAAAUCCCAAUUUAACUAGGAUUGGAAUUUUGCUUUAGAUAAUUGUAAUAAAUCUAACCAAAUUCUAACAUCGAUCAUGAGGUAUUGGCUAUACUAGGAUUUGAAUUUCACCAAACUUUUAAUAUCAUUUGUACAAAUGGUAUAAAAAUUGAUGAUUUGAUAAUUCUAC
rnacentral:lncRNA from 1 species